AUACUGCCACAGUACUACCAAAUACAACCUAUACAUUAUUCCCAAGUACUGCAAUACUACUAACGAAUACUACAUAGCACUUGUACAAAUGAGUAAAAUGUACAGAGUCUUGUCGUUAUGUAACAAGUAGGGGCUAGAUAGUACAGAGACACGUCAUUAAGGAGCGGGUAGGGGUUGGACAGUAAAGGGACAGGUCAUUAAGGAGCAGGUAGGGGUUAGACAGUACCAUCAGGUCAUUAGGGAACAGAUAGGGGUUAGAAAGUACAGAGACAGGUCAUUAGGUGCAGGUAGGGGUUAGAAAGUACAGAGACAGGUCAUUAGGUGCAGGUAGGGGUUAGACAGUACAGAGACAGGUCAUUAAGGAGCAGGUAGGGGUUAGACAGUACCAUCAGGUCAUUAGGGAACAGAUAGGGGUUAGAAAGUACAGAGACAGGUCAUUAGGUGCAGGUAGGGGUUAGACAGUACAGAGACAGGUCAUUAAGGAGCAGGUAGGGGUUAGACAGUACAGAGACAGGUCAUUAAGGAGCAGGUAGGGGUUAGACAGUACAGAGA